rnacentral:piRNA from 1 species
UUCAUGGGCAAAUGAAAAUCUAAGAGAAAA